ensembl:lncRNA
ACGGGCGACUUGUUGCUCCACAUCGUUUCCACACAGAAAACGUACAAAAGAAAAGAAAAAGAAAGGAAGCGGCUUCCUGCACUGCGAGAGGACGCACCAAACUACGACUCCCAUGGUGCAACGCAGGAAGGCUCAACGCUGCGGCCCGGUCAGCUAGCAGCGGUUGAAGAUUACGCUUUGUGAAAAAACACAAAAAACUGCUGAAAACAUUUAGCAACUUCAUUCAGGUCAACUUGUGGCAACGUCGGGAAGAUUCAGCAACGAUGGCGACAUGAGGACAACGUGCAGAAGGGCUGUGACUGACAGCGGCCUCCUGGGCGAAAGUCACCCUUACGUACACACUCAUCUGUCACGCGGGUUUGACACAGGUUGCGUUACUUCUUUGCGGCUCCUGGCGGAGCUUUAAAGUGAGUUCCGAAGCAUUCGGGGAGGUGGAGGAGACCCAAGACGGAGCUAAAAGAGAGAGACUACAGCACUUCCAAUGAAUCUUCAUGUCACGACUGGAUGGGGAUGUGAAGUUUAAUACAUCACCUGAAAAGGUUGAUCAAGUGUCAAAAACAUUGUUUAACUGUAAUCGAGAGCGGAGGAGGAAAACUCUCCUCUACGACGCCGACUGUCAUUAAUUGUGGAAUGCAGCGAGAUUUGAAAACAAGAAAAGCUCCAUUCCUGAGCGGCACAAUCCGUCACUGUUUGGCCUCUUUAACUUUAACUCACCGAGCAACAAACCGCCUUGCGGACGCAGACGCGCCGCCACACAAACAGCGUUUAAUGAAAUAAAAGAGAAAUAAGUCACCGGACCCGCUGUGUCGUGACGAGGACGACUAAUUCUCGUCUGCUGGGUCACAAAUACAAACAUAAAGAAUAGUUUAGUCGCUCCGACAUAUUGCAGUUUAAUCUCCAAACAUCUCCAAAGUUGCACAAAUGAAGGCAAAGCGUCUCCAUGGCAACGACAGAAUCGGAUGCAAAAUUGCUCACGUGGGUCUUAGAGCUUUGAAGAUAGUUGUGACGAUAAAGUGACUCUUCAGACGCUACAAACACCCACAAGUUUAAACAAGAAGGAGGAAAAACACAGGACAGUUUUAUGACACUUCAACCUUCUUCAUCAGAUUAUUAAUUAGUCGAUUUAAUCGACGGGCAUCGGACUCCCUUCGACGGGAGGAGCGAGGGAAGAUAUCAGGUCCGACCCGUUCCGGUCCUCCGGGUCCGAACCCGCCCCCGGGCCAGGGUU